rnacentral:rRNA from 1 species
ACGCUGGCGGCGUGCCUAAUACAUGCAGGUAGAACGCUGAAGAGAGGAGCUUGCUCUUCUUGAAUGAGUUGCGAACGGGUGAGUAACGCGUAGGUAACCUGCCUUGUAGCGGGGGAUAACUAUUGGAAACGAUAGCUAAUACCGCAUAACAAUGGGUGACACAUGUCAUUUAUUUGAAAGGGGCAAUUGCUCCACUACAAGAUGGACCUGCGUUGUAUUAGCUAGUAGGUGAGGUAACGGCUCACCUAGGCGACGAUACAUAGCCGACCUGAGAGGGUGAUCGGCCACACUGGGACUGAGGCACGGCCCAGACUCCUACGGGAGGCAGCAGUAGGGAAUCUUCGGCAAUGGGGGCAACCCUGACCGAGCAACGCCGCGUGAGUGAAGAAGGUUUUCGGAUCGUAAAGCUCUGUUGUAAGUCAAGAACGAGUGUGAGAGUGGAAAGUUCACACUGUGACGGUAGCUUACCAGAAAGGGACGGCUAACUACGUGCCAGCAGCCGCGGUAAUACGUAGGUCCCGAGCGUUGUCCGGAUUUAUUGGGCGUAAAGCGAGCGCAGGCGGUUUGAUAAGUCUGAAGUUAAAGGCUGUGGCUCAACCAUAGUUCGCUUUGGAAACUGUCAAACUUGAGUGCAGAAGGGGAGAGUGGAAUUCCAUGUGUAGCGGUGAAAUGCGUAGAUAUAUGGAGGAACACCGGUGGCGAAAGCGGCUCUCUGGUCUGUAACUGACGCUGAGGCUCGAAAGCGUGGGGAGCGAACAGGAUUAGAUACCCUGGUAGUCCACGCCGUAAACGAUGAGUGCUAGGUGUUGGAUCCUUUCCGGGAUUCAGUGCCGCAGCUAACGCAUUAAGCACUCCGCCUGGGGAGUACGACCGCAAGGUUGAAACUCAAAGGAAUUGACGGGGGCCCGCAC